rnacentral:rRNA from 1 species
AACGAACGCUGGCGGCAGGCCUAACACAUGCAAGUCGAGCGCGCCCUUCGGGGUGAGCGGCGGACGGGUGAGUAACGCGUGGGAACGUGCCCUUUUCUACGGAAUAGCCUCGGGAAACUGAGAGUAAUACCGUAUACGCCCUUUGGGGGAAAGAUUUAUCGGAAAAGGAUCGGCCCGCGUUGGAUUAGGUAGUUGGUGGGGUAAUGGCCUACCAAGCCGACGAUCCAUAGCUGGUUUGAGAGGAUGAUCAGCCACACUGGGACUGAGAUACGGCCCAGACUCCUACGGGAGGCAGCAGUGGGGAAUCUUAGACAAUGGGGGCAACCCUGAUCUAGCCAUGCCGCGUGAGUGAUGAAGGCCUUAGGGUUGUAAAGCUCUUUCAGCUGGGAAGAUAAUGACGGUACCAGCAGAAGAAGCCCCGGCUAACUCCGUG